GGCAUAUUUCGCGCGGGCGGAGUUCGACCGCCGAUCGAAGCCAUGAUCGCGUUCAUCGACGAGCAUCGCGACGUCUACGGUGUCGAGCCGAUCUGCCGCCUGUUGCCGAUCGCGCCG
rfam:Burkholderia telluris isolate LMG 22936 genome assembly, contig: contig000023